UUAAAUUCUUCUAUUUCUAGACUUUGCACUUAAAAAGCAGUGUAUUGUUUGCAAGUUGGUUUUUAUGUUCCCAAUUUUGGAAAUGUUUUGAAUGUGUGGCAUAUGAAACUUCUUCAACAUCAGCUCUCAACGACAAUCCUGUCCAUUAUGUAAUGUAAUUGCAAGGGUUUUUUGAGAGUUUGCACUUUACUGUUAUUUAUCAAUUUAUGUACUGUAAUGUUAUCAAAGAUUAAUUUGAGAUAGUUUACAUCAACUCCCCUAGAAUUCUUUCACCUACAGCCCAAUCCCUGAAAAGAUUCACAUCACAACCCGAGUAAAAUCAAAAUCUUUUUCCUGCUCGAUGUCAAAAGCUGCCUUAUAACACCUGAUGUUUUAAUAUCAGAAACUAGGUUAUUCUAAAAUGUAUGUCUUGAAAAAGGUCAUUAAUGUUUUAUAAGGUGACUUGAUAGAGAAGAUUGUCUAGAUGACUUCCAUAUCUCACGACAAUUUAAUGCUGAUAUGAAUUUAUAUGUGGAUGACAUGCAGCUGUUCUUGCUUUUACCAGUAGUUCUUUGGAGAGAAUCCUGUUAAUUGUUAUAGUGUCUUCUGCCUGUACUUAAGACAACAAUCCUUGACAGAAGUUAAAUGUUCGAAUAGCGGUUUAGCAGAAAUGAGGAUGUCUGGUAGCUUGUUUAGACGCCGUGCCACGCUGUGAGUCAACUCAUUCUUCAACAGGCUCGAUUGGCUUUUAUGUGGGGGUUCAUAGCUGAUAUCAUGGACGAUAGCUCGCACUUACAGUAGUCACGUGCUGUGGAUUGUGAUGAUGGUGCUUAUAACUUCCUUUUUGAUAUUUGGAUGUGCCAUUUUUCUUGGGAUAUUUGAUUAGUCAUAAUAUUUUUGAUGCGGACAUCCAUUUAUUAUUUAUUUUCUAUUUGAACUAUUAGUUAUAUUUUAUUUGGACUAUUGUUUAUGCUUUUAUUAUUGGGCUUG
rnacentral:lncRNA from 1 species